UACGUAGGGUGCAAGCGUUAAUCGGAAUUACUGGGCGUAAAGCGUGCGCAGGCGGUUCGUUGUGUCGGUGGUGAAAGCCCCGGGCUUAACCUGGGAAUGGCCAUGGAAACUGGCGAACUGGAGUGUGGCAGAGGGGGGUGGAAUUCCGCGUGUAGCAGUGAAAUGCGUAGAGAUGCGGAGGAACACCGAUGGCGAAGGCAGCCCCCUGGGCUGACACUGACGCUCAGGCACGAAAGCGUGGGGAGCGAACGGG
rnacentral:rRNA from 1 species